AUACGGAGGGUGCAAGCGUUAAUCGGAAUUACUGGGCGUAAAGCGCGCGUAGGUGGUUAGUUAAGUUGGAUGUGAAAGCCCUGGGCUCAACCUGGGAAUGGCAUUCAAAACUGGCUGACUAGAGUAUGGUAGAGGGAAGGGGAAUUCCAGGUGUAGCGGUGAAAUGCGUAGAUAUCUGGAGGAACAUCAGUGGCGAAGGCGCCUUCCUGGACUAAUACUGACACUGAGGUGCGAAAGCGUGGGUAGCAAACAGGAUUAGAAACCCCAGUAGUCC
rnacentral:rRNA from 1 species